rnacentral:tRNA from 1 species
CGGGCAGUGCGCCGGUUUCGGGCGGCCCGCUGGGUUCGGGCAGCGGACCGGUUAGCGCACCUCCGUUCGGGGCCGCGCCGUUCGC